rnacentral:rRNA from 1 species
AUUGAACGCUGGCGGCAUGCUUUACACAUGCAAGUCGAACGGGGUUGGGAGCUUGCUUCCAAUCUAGUGGCGAACGGGUGAGUAAUACAUCGGAACGUACCGUGUAGUGGGGGAUAACGUAGCGAAAGUUACGCUAAUACCGCAUACGAUCCACGGAUGAAAGCAGGGGACCUUCGGGCCUUGUGCUAUACGAGCGGCCGAUGUCUGAUUAGCUAGUUGGUGAGGUAAAGGCUCACCAAGGCGACGAUCAGUAGCGGGUCUGAGAGGAUGAUCCGCCACACUGGGACUGAGACACGGCCCAGACUCCUACGGGAGGCAGCAGUGGGGAAUUUUGGACAAUGGGCGCAAGCCUGAUCCAGCCAUGCCGCGUGUCUGAAGAAGGCCUCGGUGUAA